rnacentral:rRNA from 1 species
GACGAACGCUGGCGGCGUGCUUAACACAUGCAAGUCGAACGGUAAGGCCCUUCGGGGUACACGAGUGGCGAACGGGUGAGUAACACGUGGGUGAUCUGCCCUGCACUUCGGGAUAAGCCUGGGAAACUGGGUCUAAUACCGGAUAGGACUCCGGACUGCAUGGUCUGGGGUGGAAAGCUUUUGCGGUGUGGGAUGGGCCCGCGGCCUAUCAGCUUGUUGGUGGGGCGAUGGCCUACCAAGGCGACGACGGGUAGCCGGCCUGAGAGGGUGACCGGCCACACUGGGACUGAGAUACGGUCCAGACUCCUACGGGAGGCAGCAGUGGGGAAUAUUGCACAAUGGGCGCAAGCCUGAUGCAGCGACGCCGCGUGAGGGAUGACGGCCUUCGGGUUGUAAACCUCUUUCAGCAUCGACGAAGCGAAAGUGACGGUAGGUGCAGAAGAAGGACCGGCCAACUACGUGCCAGCCGCCGCAGUAA